AGUAAAGUCAGCUAAUUAAGCUUUUGGGCCCAUACCCCAAACAUGUUGGUUAAGCACCUUCCUUUACUA
rnacentral:tRNA from 1 species